AAUGAACGCUGGCGGCAGGCUUAACACAUGCAAGUCGAACGCCCCGCGAGGGGAGUGGCAGGCGGGUGAGUAACGCGUGGGAACAUACCCUUUUCUACGGAAUAGCUCUGGGAAACUGGAAUCAAUAACGUAUACGCCCUACGGGGGAAAGAUUUAUCGGGGAAGGAUUGGCCCGUGUUGGAUUAGCUAGUUGGUGGGGUAAAGGCCUACCAAGGCGACGAUCCAUAGCUGGUCUGAGAGGAUGAUCAGCCACAUUGGGACUGAGACACGGCCCAAACUCCUACGGGAAGCAGCAGUGGGGAAUAUUGGACAAUGGGCGCAAGCCUGAUCCAGCCAUGCCGCGUGAGUGAUGAAGGCCUUAGGGUUGUAAAGCUCUUUCACCGAUGAAGAUAAUGACGGUAGUCGGAGAAGAAGCCCCGGCUAACUUCGUG
rnacentral:rRNA from 1 species